GCCCAAGAUAGUUUAAAAAAAACAAUGGUCUUGUAAACCGUAAUUUAAAAUUAAUUAUUAUCUGGGUU
rnacentral:tRNA from 1 species